UUCUUAGAGGGACUUUGCGGUUAUAAAUCGCAAGGAAGUUUAAGGCAAUAACAGGUCUGUGAUGCCCUUAGAUGUCCUGGGCUGCACGCGCGCUACACUGAUGCGUCCAUCGAGUUUAUCCUUGGCCGAGAGGCCUGGGUAAUCUUUAGUGCGCAUCGUGAUGGGGAUCGAUUAUUGCAAUUAUUAAUCGUGAACGAGGAAUGCCUAGUAUGCGCAAGUCAUCAGCUUGUGCAGAUUACGUCCCUGCCCUUUGUACACACCGCCCGUCGCUCCUACCGAUCGA
rnacentral:rRNA from 1 species